GCUUCACCUCUCCUAGACCCCAUUUAAGAGCUGACUACCAGUAGGGAAGGAUCUCUUCUGGGUAUCUCUUCUUUGGACUUUUACAGCAAGCCCAGGACAAGGAGCGCAGCCCAUGAAGACAAACAAAACAACAGAAAUGUAAUCCCUUUCAGCCUCUGGGGCAAAAUAGGCAAAUGGGUACAAAGAUGCUUACGGGAAGUCAUUAAUCUUUCAUGAGACCAUUCUACCAUUUCUUAAUUCAGAACAAUAAAAGCUUGGAAAGGCAUGCAUUCUCAUGUCACUGUCUACUUCAAGGGAAAGGAAGUUCUAAUGGAAGAUAAAUUUGAUCAAAUGAUAGCAAGAGAUAAUGAAAUAACUGUGUUAAAGAGAGUAGUGCAGCAGUAAAGAAAGAAAAAAGCCCUUGAACUUUAUUCUUUUUUUCUGUACAAGGCCAGAUGGGAUCUGAAAACAUCAUGAAGUAUUACAGCUGAA